UACGUAGGGGGCAAGCGUUGUCCGGAUUUACUGGGCGUAAAGCGCACGCAGGCGGUCGGCUGCGUAGGUGGUGACAGUCCUCGGCUUACCUGAGGAAGCGCUGCCUAAACGGGUCGACUUGAGGGCCAGAGAGGGACACGGAACUCCGGGUGGAGCGGUGAAAUGCGUAGAGAUCCGGAAGAACACCAAAGGCGAAGGCAGUGUCCUGGCUGGCUCCUGACGCUCAGGUGCGAAAGCUAGGGGAGCAAACAGG
rnacentral:rRNA from 1 species